rnacentral:rRNA from 1 species
CAGGGAUUGCCUCAGUAACGGCGAGUGAAGCGGCAACAGCUCAAAUUUGAAAUCUGGCCCCCUCGGGGUCCGAGUUGUAAUUUGGAGAAGAUGCUUCGGGUGCGGCCCCGGUCUAAGUUCCUUGGAACAGGACGUCACAGAGGGUGAGAAUCCCGUACGUGCCCGGUGGUCGCUCCCGUGUGAAGCUCUUUCGACGAGUCGAGUUGUUUGGGAAUGCAGCUCUAAAUGGGUGGUAUAUUUCAUCUAAAGCUAAAUAUUGGCCAGAGACCGAUAGCGCACAAGUAGAGUGAUCGAAAGAUGAAAAGCACUUUGGAAAGAGAGUUAAACAGUACGUGAAAUUGUUGAAAGGGAAGCGCUUGCAACCAGACUUGCGCGCGGCCGAUCAUCCGGUGUUCGCACCGGUGCACUCGACCGCGCGCAGGCCAGCAUCGGUUUGGGUGGCUGGACAAAGGCCUCGGGAAUGUGGCUCCCCUCGGGGAGUGUUAUAGCCCGAGGUGCAAUGCAGCC